rnacentral:rRNA from 1 species
GACGAACGCUGGCGGCGUGCUUAACACAUGCAAGUCGAACGGAAAGGCCCCUUUGGGGGUACUCGAGUGGCGAACGGGUGAGUAACACGUGAGUAACCUGCCCUUGACUUCGGGAUAACUUCAGGAAACUGGGGCUAAUACCGGAUAGGAAUCCUUGCUGCAUGGUGGGGGUUGGAAAGCUUCGGCGGUUUUGGAUGGACUCGCGGCUUAUCAGCUUGUUGGUGGGGUAGUGGCUUACCAAGGCUUUGACGGGUAGCCGGCCUGCGAGGGCGAGCGGCCACAUUGGGACUGAGAUACGGCCCAGACUCCUACGGGAGGGAGCAGGGGGGAAUAUUGCACAAUGGGCGGAAGCCUGAUGCAGCAACGCCGCGUGCGGGAUGACGGCCUUCGGGUUGUAAACCGCUUUCAGCAGGGGCGAAGCUUGUGGUGACGGUACCUGCAGAAGAAGCACCGGCUAACUACGUG